rnacentral:tRNA from 1 species
GACCGGCUCCAGGAGGAGCCCGCCCGGCCGUCCCUGGAGGACGGCCUGCUCUCGGUGUGGGCGCAGCCGUUCGCGUGGCUGCUGGUCGCC